rnacentral:misc_RNA from 1 species
UGGUUCUGGCAUCGAUGAAGAACGCAGCGAAAUGCGAUAAGUAAUGUGAAUUGCAGAAUUCAGUGAAUCAUCGAAUCUUUGAACGCACAUUGCGCCCAUUAGUAUUCUAGUGGGCAUGCCUGUUCGAGCGUCAUUUUAACCCUCAAGCACCCGUUUGCUUGCUGUUGGGGCUCUACCUCUUUAGUGAGGUAGUCCCUAAAAUAUAGUGGCGGACUCAUUGUUGCUCCGAGCAUAGUAGCUUAAAAACUCGCUAUGGAUUGCACCUUUGGGACCUGCCAAAACCCACUAUAAUUUUCUCAAUGGUUGACCUCGGAUCAGGUAGGAAUACCCGCUGA